GACGUAGGGCGCGAGCGUUGUCCGGAUUUAUUGGGCGUAAAGAGCUCGUAGGCGGCUUGUCGCGUCGACUGUGAAAACCCGCGGCUCAACCGCGGGCCUGCAGCCGAUACGGGCAGGCUAGAGUUCGGUAGGGGAGACUGGAAUUCCCGGUGUAGCGGUGAAAUGCGCAGAUAUCAGGAAGAACACCCGUGGCGAAGGCGGUUCUCUGGAACGCAACUGACGCUGAGACGCGAAAGCGUGGGGAGCAAACAGG
rnacentral:rRNA from 1 species